GUCCAGUAAGCUGGCUUCAUUCUGUAUAUAGUGAAAAGUAGGUGCGGAGCAUAUAGUCAGUCCCCAGUACAUUCUGGCGAAAAAUGUAGUGAGUGAAUUAGUCUGUCAGUUAUAUAUUGUAGUUGUAGCGUGCGUGUGUGUGCGUGCGUGUAUGUCUGUGUGUGUGUGUGUGUGUCUCCUUUAGAAGAGAAUUUAACCCAUGAAAGCUGACAACUGCUUUUCAUAGUACACAAAUGGCUGACUGGCCCCCAAGAGCACCUUUGUACCAAGGAUUUAUUUAUGUGUUCCUUUGUCAGUCCUAGGUGGACACCCAAUAACAAGUUGAAUUGCCUUACGGCAUGCUGACCCUUAUUGCCUUAUCUGUCUUAUCUCCCAAGGCUGCCUUGAAGGCCCCUCUCUGGAAUCUAAGGGCUCAGAGGAGCUCAAGGCAAAACACAACUGCUUUCAAGAAUCAUUAAAAUGAAUGCCUUUACUGUUUGGCUGUUUUAAUAGUGCUUAAAAAUAAAAAAGGGCUCCGUUCAAGGUCCAAACUGGAUGUUAGGCAGAGCAUGCAUGCGUUCCUAUCACACACAUCAGCCUCACAGCUCGGCUGACAAUAAGCUGGGAAGCCCUGCAUCUACGCAUCAGACAAAGCUUCUUCACUGCGUUUCCACACCGCGCUCUCUAAUCACCCAGCUUCCUGAGGCAUCCGAGCGGGUUACCUUUUUGCUAAUGGUGCAUCUUCUAAGUACCUUUAAUUACACCAUCUCCUCUUGCUUUUAGUGACCCCUCUCUUCUCCCUGUUCAAAUCCUAUACAUCUUUCAAGUCCUAAGACAAAUUCCCUCUCUUCUAGGAUUGGGUUUCCUACAAUUCUCUGCCUUAUUUAGAUCUGCAGGAGCAGCAUUUAAUUGUUCUGUGUUAGCUUUGUCUUCCUAAAUAGGUCACCUCAUCCUCGAGGGCAAAGACUGUGCUGUGGUCUUCCUUGUUUCUUAUUCAGAGGGUAAGAGUGAUAGAUACAUAGUAGAUGCUGAUUAAAUAUGUGCUGAUUGAUUUCCUGCACAGAGGUAACUGCUAACUGAAGUUGAUGCAUGAAACAAACCAGGGUGUGUGUGGUAUGUGCAUAUGAUGUGUGUGUGUGUGUGUGUGUGUGUGUGUGGUGUGUGUGUGUUUGUGUGGGCACUCACACACACUCAUGUGUUACCCGAAUCUCCCUUUGGGGGAGAUGUUCUUAUGGGGAUGCAGACAACUCUUCAAAGAAUCUUGUUCUGAGAAUGCCCCUCUAGAGUGCAAUCACGGUGGGGGUGUUGCCAGGCAUUCUCUUUCUUGGAUACCUGUGGUUGGUGUGGAUCUUCCAGGGUCCAGGGCACAGGGCCUCUGGGACACUGGGGUAAGUUGAACACUAGCAAAGGUGGCCUUUGUGCUUUUAAGGAAUUUGGAGACAUUCUGAGGAUUGAUUCUGGUCUUUUUUCCACAUUGGGAAAGUAUUUAGCCUUUGAGUACAUUCAUGUCAUAGUUCAUACAUAAGUCAGGGUGAAGAGAGAGAGAGAGAGAGAGAGAGAGAGAGAGAGAGAGAGAGAGAGAGACAGAGAGAGAGAGACAGAGAGAGAGAGAGAGAGAGACAGAGAGAGAGAGAGACAGAGAGAGAGAGACAGAGAGAGCAAGCGCACAGGCUCUUAAGUGGGUAGCAGGUACACCAAGGAGAGAAAACCUGAUAAGCAAAAGUGACAGGUGACCAGAAUUAGCCAGAUGUGCCAUACCUCACCACUUCCUAGUUUACUAGAUUUCAAAAGUCCUUUCCAGGACAGAGGUUGGGCAGGUUUCCUCUAAGUCAUCUUUAUAAGAUUAAAGCUUCAGGACUCCAAGAGAAAGCAAAGACAUGCCAUGCGCCCCAGCCCGGUGAGAGUAAACGGUGCAGGAGAAGGCUAUGCCCAUUUCUCCAGAACCCAAGCCAGGGGGCAGAAGUCUUUGCUCGCCACCACACACACUUGAUGAUGGCUUAGCCCAGGCCAUGACUCAAGCGUUAGAAUCACUGCUAGGGUGCACAUAUAUCUGACAGCUCAGCGGCCAUCCUGCUGUUAGGAAGCAGUAUGUGCUGUCAUUCAAGACUUUGAGGCAGCGGCCAAGUGCCUUGCUUGAGCUAUUUGAACAAGGAUUGUGUCGUCAUUCAGCUAAGUACUGAUGAGAGCUGAGAUGGAAGGGCAGUGCUUCAUAGAUCUAUGGAAAUCAAUGGACCCCCACCCCAUCCCUAUCCCUGCAUGAAUAGGCUCAGCUUUUGUCUUAGAAAAUUCUGGUGAGAGCUGGGUAACUCAGCUGUCUAUUGGAUAAUUUUAGGAUUGGUUACCUUUAAAGUAGAGGCACUUUGAUUAUUAAUAACUUGGGCUGAUUCCUGAGUUUGGGUUUAUACUGUAUAAGUGAUGUUUUCAUCUCUAUUCUGAAAUAUUCCUUGGAAAACUGUUCUUUAUAAAGUAACUUCUUUAAAAAAAUUAAAUUAGAUUUGUGUGUGUGUGUGUGUGUUUGUGUGUGUGUGUGUGUGUGUGUGUGAGAGAGAGAGAGAGCGAGAGAGAGAGAGAGAGAGAGAGAGAGAGCAUGCUACAGAAAGAGUCAGAGAGACACAGAGAUUCCUGAGAAGAAACUUAAAGGAGCUGUUUUCCCAUGGUUCCUUGGGGUCAGGUUCUCUGGUCUGGCCACAGCAAGUGCUUUUACCUGCUGGGCUGCCUCACCAGGCUGAUGGUGCAACUUCUUAAAGCUAUAAUGACGGGCACUGGGACAGCUCCGUGAACAAAGGUGCUGGCUGCCACACCUGAGUGUGGUCCCCAGAAUCCACUCGGUAAAGGACAGAAUAGACCCUGGAGGUUGUCCUCUGAUGUCAUCCAUGUCAUCCAUGUACCAUGGUACUUACUGUGUACUGCUCCAUCAUAUGCAUACAUGUUUAGAGAAAGUUCAUGGCACAUAUGAACAACUACAUGCGUUUAUAAACAAUCACCUCUACUUUAUCUUUUUGCUUGAAUUUUUGGCCUUCGCUCCUGCUUAAAUGUUCUCAAUAUAACCUCUGUGUCUCUUUUGAGGAGACAUCUUUAUCUCUUGGGAUAAAUGUUAGCCAGAGGUUGGUAAAGUUCUGAGGCCAUCGGUGUGAGAUGGCCAUGGCUGGGAGAGCUGACAAAAAGAAGAGGUGAGGAGGAGACGCUAGAAGCGCUCGAGAGCGUGUGUAGGUGUGUGGGCUUUUCACUGUAUGUGGAAAUACAGUGAGCUGCCUGUCCACUAUUGCCAUUCCUUCCUAGAAGAUAUGUGGAGGACAGAGACCAGUCUUGAGUGUAUUCCUCAGGUGCCACCACCUUGCUUAACUCUGUCUGACACAAGGCUGCUGUGAAGGUUGGCUGCCCGGGGUC
rnacentral:lncRNA from 1 species